GAUGAACGCUAGCUACAGGCUUAACACAUGCAAGUCGAGGGGAAACGGGCGCCAAGCUUGCUUGGCGCAGUCGUCGACCGGCGAAUGGGUGAGUAACGCGUAUCCAACCUGGCCGUAAGCAGAGAAUAGGCUUCCGAAAGAAAGAUUAAUGCUCUAUGUAGUCACCCGAAGGCAUCGGAAGGUGACCAAAGAUCCGUCGCUUACGGAUGGGGAUGCGUCUGAUUAGGCAGUUGGCGGGGCAAAGGCCCACCAAACCGACGAUCAGUAGGGGUUCUGAGAGGAAGGUCCCCCACAUUGGAACUGAGACACGGUCCAAACUCCUACGGGAGGCAGCAGUGAGGAAUAUUGGUCAAUGGGCGAGAGCCUGAACCAGCCAAGUAGCGUGCAGGACGACGGCCCUAUGGGUUGUAAACUGCUUUUGAAGGGGAAUAAAGUGAGCGACGUGUCGUUCAUUGCAAGUACCCUUGGAAUAAGGACCGGCUAAUUCCGUGCCAGCAGCCGCGGUAAUACGGAAGGUCCGGGCGUUAUCCGGAUUUAUUGGGUUUAAAGGGAGCGUAGGCCGCUCUUUAAGCGUGUUGUGAAAUGCAGGUGCCCAACAUCUGCACUGCAGCGCGAACUGGAGAGCUUGA
rnacentral:rRNA from 1 species